rnacentral:lncRNA from 1 species
UGGCGAAAUUGUGGACAUCACAGGAGCAACCACAGCCAUCACAGCAGCAGCCAUCAGUGCAGCCACCAUCACAGCCACCACCACAGCCAUCAACAUUGCCACAGGCACAGGUGUGGCCAGGGCCACAGCCACCACAACCACAGCCACCACCUCAGCCAACACAACCAAGUGCUCAAGCCCGUUGUACUCAGCACACCUCCAAAUGCAAUCUCCAGGAUUCCCAAAGGCCAGGUCACCAGCCUACUUCAGCGGGGAUCUACUAAGCUGGAGGGCAAUCUCUGUAUCAACAACAGAUUCCAGGGUCUCAUGAACCCAUGCCAAUCUAGCCCCAUCAGAAACACUGGGUAUUCACAACUCAAGUCUACCAAUUACAUACAGCAGUGGUGAUCCAGAGAUUGAACCCAGGACCCCAUGGCCAUCCCCAAAAUGCAGAUGAGCAACCACAUCUUCUCAGCAUCCAGCAAUAUCUCCACUCCAAAAGCCACCCACUCUAGAAGAGGAGGCUGCCAGGAAUAAAAUCCCAAGGAGAGAUGAGGCCUCUGGGACCAGAGAGGGCCCUGGUGCUAAGGUGGUGGUGGAACAGAACCCAGCAGCCUUCAGCUGGAUACUGAUAGCUUCAUCUCCUGAAGGCUUUCAGAUGACAGCAGCUGGACCCACCGUUUUACCUACCUGUGUCCACUCACAUGGGCUCAGGAUGUGGACUUAGAGGCUCUCCUUUAAUAAAUAUCUUAUACAA